rnacentral:rRNA from 1 species
AGUGAACGCUGGCGGUAGGCCUAACACAUGCAAGUCGAACGGCAGCACAGUAAGAGCUUGCUCUUACGGGUGGCGAGUGGCGGACGGGUGGGGAAUACAUCGGAAUCUACUUUUUCGUGGGGGAUAACGUAGGGAAACUUACGCUAAUACCGCAUACGACCUACGGGUGAAAGCAGGGGAUCUUCGGACCUUGCGCAAUUGAAUGAGCCGAUGUCGGAUUAGCUAGUUGGCGGGGUAAAGGCCCACCAAGGCGACGAUCCGUAGCUGGUCUGAGAGGAUGAUCAGCCACACUGGAACUGAGACACGGUCCAGACUCCUACGGGAGGCAGCAGUGGGGAAUAUUGGACAAUGGGCGCAAGCCUGAUCCAGCCAUACCGCGUGGGUGAAGAAGGCCUUCGGGUUGUAAAGCCCUUUUGUUGGGAAAGAAAAGCAGCAGGUUAAUACCCCGCUGUUCUGACGGUACCCAAAGAAUAAGCACCGGCUAACUUCGUG